GGAUACUUAUGAUGGAAUGGUGCAGUAUUCUAGUCAGUCUAUUUCCUCCGAAGACGGGCCUAAAAAUCCGUUAAAGGGCACAUCGAUGAAGUUCUUGGUGUUGGCUUCCGAUGCCCCGUCGGGGGUCGAUGCUGAGAGUUAAGGUUGAAGGGCGAUCCACAAGGGCAUGUGGGCGAAGACCCUUCUUCCGUGGAGGACUCAAGAUGCCGCCAAGUUUGUCGUCGGCACCUUGAGUUUAAACCUGCAUACGGGGUUCACCCUCCGGAUGCAGCGUAGCCUGCCUUGAGUGGGAGCAGAGAGGAUUAUCUUGACGGACGGCUCGUUCUCGGCAAGGAGCAGUCGUUUCCUUUCAAGAUAUGAAAUCUGCCCUGCAAAAGAGGCUAGGAGGGGCAGAAUAGACUGUUGAGGAAAACUCCUAGACUGUUUGCAUCAAGCAAGGUUCUCUGAGGAUUACAGUACGGUCUAAGUGGCAAUCCAGUCCGAAACGGGGAGACCCUUUCGAGUGGCACGUAAAGGGAAACCGCCAAGAACGGCAACGUUCUGGUGUGCCGCUGGGAAAACCUACUGGACCUAAGCCGUAAUGUUUACUCAGAGAACUACCAUUCCAUCCUUCACGCAG
rnacentral:sRNA from 1 species